rnacentral:rRNA from 1 species
AUACGGAGGAUGCGAGCGUUAUCCGGAUUUAUCAGGUUUAAAGGGUGUGUAGGCGGUAUUUUAAGUCAGUGGUGAAAUCUCGGAGCUUAACUUCGAAACUGCCAUUGAUACUGGAAUACUUGAGUAUAGUUGAGGUAGGCGGAAUAUGUAAUGUAGCGGUGAAAUGCAUAGAUAUUACAUAGAACACCGAUUGCGAAGGCAGCUUACUAAACUAUUACUGACGCUGAUGCACGAAAGCGUGGGGAGCGAACAGGAUUAGAUACCCUAGUAGUCC